ACUUUAAUAGCUUAUUAAGAGCGUAAUAUUGAAGAUAUUAAGGAAAUUAAUUAUUUUAAAGUA
rnacentral:tRNA from 1 species